rnacentral:rRNA from 1 species
CCUACGGGAGGCAGCAGUGGGGAAUAUUGCACAAUGGGGGAAACCCUGAUGCAGCCAUGCCGCGUGUGUGAAGAAGGCCUUCGGGUUGUAAAGCACUUUCAGUAGGGAGGAAGGUAGUGUAGUUAACACCUGCAUUAUUUGACGUUACCUACAGAAGAAGCACCGGCUAACUCCGUGCCAGCAGCCGCGGUAAUACGGAGGGUGCGAGCGUUAAUCGGAAUUACUGGGCGUAAAGCGCAUGCAGGCGGCCUGUUAAGUCAGAUGUGAAAGCCCGGGGCUUAACCUCGGAAUUGCAUUUGAAACUGGCAGGCUAGAGU